rfam:Pseudomassariella vexata strain CBS 129021 BCR38scaffold_1, whole genome shotgun sequence.
GUCCGGCUGGCGCAAUGGUAGCGCGUCAGACUUCUAUUCUUAAAAGAUUAGAAGAUUAUCUGAAGGUUGUGGGUUCGACCCCCACGUUGGAUG